rnacentral:lncRNA from 1 species
GGCAAUUACAAGUAAAGUAGUGAAAAAUUAAGCUAGAGCAAUUAUACUAUGGCUUUAGGGUGCACUUGAUCUAAAAUUAACUUAUAGUUGUAUGAUUAAUUUUAAUCUAUGUGAAUGGUAAAAAUGGAGUGGAAGCUAAGCAAGUUCUAAACAAUCACUUAUAAAUCAAUAGAAAAUAAAGCUAAAGAUAUUACACAAUCAAGUAUGAGUGUAAGGCAUGAAAUACAAGAGAUAAGGCAUCACAAACACAAAGAUGUAUUAGUGGUUCGGUGCACCCCAGCACCUACAUCCACUCCCCAAGACCUCUUAAAAAUUUCACGAUAAUUCCUCA